AGAGUUUGAUCAUGGCUCAGGUUGAACGCUGGCGGCAGGCCUAACACAUGCAAGUCGAACGGUAACAGGAAACAGCUUGCUGUUUCGCUGACGAGUGGCGGACGGGUGAGUAAUGUCUGGGAAACUGCCUGAUGGAGGGGGAUAACUACUGGAAACGGUAGCUAAUACCGCAUAACGUCGCAAGACCAAAGAGGGGGACCUUCGGGCCUCUUGCCAUCAGAUGUGCCCAGAUGGGAUUAGCUAGUAGGUGGGGUAACGGCUCACCUAGGCGACGAUCCCUAGCUGGUCUGAGAGGAUGACCAGCCACACUGGAACUGAGACACGGUCCAGACUCCUACGGGAGGCAGCAGUGGGGAAUAUUGCACAAUGGGCGCAAGCCUGAUGCAGCCAUGCCGCGUGUAUGAAGAAGGCCUUCGGGUUGUAAAGUACUUUCAGCGGGGAGGAAGGGAGUAAAGUUAAUACCUUUGCUCAUUGACGUUACCCGCAGAAGAAGCACCGGCUAACUCCGUGCCAGCAGCCGCGGUAAUACGGAGGGUGCAAGCGUUAAUCGGAAUUACUGGGCGUAAAGCGCACGCAGGCGGUUUGUUAAGUCAGAUGUGAAAUCCCCGGGCUCAACCUGGGAACUGCAUCUGAUACUGGCAAGCUUGAGUCUCGUAGAGGGGGGUAGAAUUCCAGGUGUAGCGGUGAAAUGCGUAGAGAUCUGGAGGAAUACCGGUGGCGAAGGCGGCCCCCUGGACGAAGACUGACGCUCAGGUGCGAAAGCGUGGGGAGCAAACAGGAUUAGAUACCCUGGUAGUCCACGCCGUAAACGAUGUCGACUUGGAGGUUGUGCCCUUGAGGCGUGGCUUCCGGAGCUAACGCGUUAAGUCGACCGCCUGGGGAGUACGGCCGCAAGGUUAAAACUCAAAUGAAUUGACGGGGGCCCGCACAAGCGGUGGAGCAUGUGGUUUAAUUCGAUGCAACGCGAAGAACCUUACCUGGUCUUGACAUACACGGAAGUUUUCAGAGAUGAGAAUGUGCCUUCGGGAACCGUGAGACAGGUGCUGCAUGGCUGUCGUCAGCUCGUGUUGUGAAAUGUUGGGUUAAGUCCCGCAACGAGCGCAACCCUUAUCCUUUGUUGCCAGCGGUCCGGCCGGGAACUCAAAGGAGACUGCCAGUGAUAAACUGGAGGAAGGUGGGGAUGACGUCAAGUCAUCAUGGCCCUUACGACCAGGGCUACACACGUGCUACAAUGGCGCAUACAAAGAGAAGCGACCUCGCGAGAGCAAGCGGACCUCAUAAAGUGCGUCGUAGUCCGGAUUGGAGUCUGCAACUCGACUCCAUGAAGUCGGAAUCGCUAGUAAUCGUGGAUCAGAAUGCCACGGUGAAUACGUUCCCGGGCCUUGUACACACCGCCCGUCACACCAUGGGAGUGGGUUGCAAAAGAAGUAGGUAGCUUAACCUUCGGGAGGGCGCUUACCACUUUGUGAUUCAUGACUGGGGUGAAGUCGUAACAAGGUAACCGUAGGGGAACCUGCGGUUG
rnacentral:rRNA from 1 species